AUUAACCAGCAGCCACAAGCUCUGGAGAGUCUGUGAAGUCUGCCGAGCACACAGGGGAUUGGGCAUCGAGCAAGGUGGCUCCUAAUUAGCCUUGGCCUGAUUUUUAUGAUCCACAGAGCUGAGACCCACGUCCUUGGAGGCUGGUCACACACUGGUUGUGAGGGUGUGAAAGACUGCUGAGAAGUGCACCAUCAGUGUGAGGACAACUAAACCACGGCUCACCGUCUGGAGGUUAAUGGCCGAUGAAGCUGGGAGGCGGGGACAUGCAAAUUACACCUCAUAGAGGUACCAUUAUACUUCUUCACACUUAUCAGGGACAGUGCCAUAAGGUUAUCGUUUUCAUUAGCCAGACGAGAAUAUUGCCGGCUCGGAGUGGUCAAGCAACUUGCCCCAUGUCACACAGCAAAGAAGGAACAGAGCCUGGCCGCAGGACUCCACAUCUCAAGAGUUUGACGGCUCUUGCUGAGCAAAAGUUCCUCUCAAUCUCCUCUACAAGAGCCAGAGAAGACAGCCUAGAUGUAACUCUGUGAACUGAGCCAUUUAUUCAUUGUCAACCCGUAACCAUUUACUGAGCACCCACUGUGGGGCCGCACUCAGUGAGUCUGGCCACGGGGAUGCUGAGAUUAAUAAACGUAGCCUUUGUUCUUGCGAAGCAUGUCAUCUAGAG